UACGUAGGAUGCAAGCGUUGUCCGGAAUUAUUGGGCGUAAAGGGCUCGUAGGCGGUCUGUUGCGUCAGGAGUGAAAACUCGGGGCUUAACCCCGAGCCUGCUUCUGAUACGGGCAGACUAGAGGUAUGCAGGGGAGAACGGAAUUCCUGGUGUAGCGGUGAAAUGCGCAGAUAUCAGGAGGAACACCGGUGGCGAAGGCGGUUCUCUGGGCAUUACCUGACGCUGAGACGCGAAAGCGUGGGGAGCAAACAGG
rnacentral:rRNA from 1 species